GUCCGAGUCGAGUUUGGCGUUGUUGCCAUCGCAGAGCAGCUCUGAGGCCAGGCCCGUGGCCUCUCUGGGGGCUGGGGCCCCGCAGCCAGUGCAGUGCGCUGCCAGAGCCCCCAGUGCUGGCUUCCGCCUGUGGGCCUGCUCCCCACCCUCCUCCGAAUGCUCCUGUCCCCGGCCUGUCAGGGUCCGGCCAACCUGCUCCAACGUCCAGGCCCAGUGACUCAGGCUGGUUCCGGAGCUGGAGACAGUGGGAUGACGGUGCAGAGCUCUGCCUGGGGCCCUGCACAGGGCACAGUGAGGACCAGCCUCAGCUCCCUAGCCUCCCGUGACCAGCGUCGUCCAAGGAAGGAAAGCCACGGAACCCACUGGCAGAUUUGGGAGGACCCCGCAGAGCCCCCGGCAGACACCUGGGUUGGUGGAGAGCUGCCUCUGG